CUCUGGUCCUUCUGACUCCAGGGCUGGUGCUCUAUCUACUGUGCCACCUAGCUGCCUCUAGGUUUCUUUAUUUCAUCCAAGUUGGAAGGGCAUCUGCCCUCCCAGGCCUAAUCCUACUACUGAUUGGGACAGGACCUGCUCCAUUUCUCACCUGGGACGGCUCCCCCCUUCUUAGGCAGCUUGGUGAACCACCCUAACCGAGGGCUCACCCUAUUGGUGCCAGACUUAGUGUGAAUGCCCAGUUGACAUCCUGAGUUCAAUUACUCCAUCAGUCUCAGCCUUCCUGGUAGCAGGGAUUACACCAGGCUCAUAUAUCCAUUCUCCUGUCCAGAUUUCCCCUCUCCCCUCAGAGAUUGGCACUCCAAAUGGUCAGUCUUUUCAGUACCCACUUGAAAUAGCCUGAUCCAGAAGUGGGAGAAAAAGCUCUGGCUCUUUCAAAUGCUCUUGUGAUGAUGGUUUUGAUGAUAAAGUCAAAGCUUUGAACAUUAAACUGUUUUUCAGGCAUCACCGCCCACUUGCCUUUUCUGUGGCCUUAUUUUCUACCACUGAAGUGUCUGGGAAGUGGAUAUACUUAGGGCAGUCCUCAAGCAGGGAGAAGUAACUGAGGACUCUAGCCUGGAGCCUUGCACCUUGCAGGCACUAAAUAAAUAUUUGUUGACUAAAUGAAUGGUUAUAUGGAUGAACAAAUGAAUGGAUAGGCCAGCUUACUUCAGGGCUAGCCAUUUUCAAGUGCCUGAUUUGGGACCCAAGUUUUGCCUGGGAAAUGUUUAUGGAUGACUCAGUGUUCCCAUGUGGGGGACAAAAAGGUGGCCAGCUGCUCGCAAUCAGGUUGAGAGUCUCUCUAGUGGAACCAGAUGUCUUCUUUGAGGACCGGCACUAGAAUCCUCUUGGAAAUCACUCCUGCCACAGGAGGCAAGGAGGCAUCAUACAGUUGCCCAGCUCUACAAAAUGAUUCAAUGGCACUCUGCCAGGCACAGAGGGGAGGCUGGCUGUGAUGGGGUCCCCAUUAGGGAGCUUAACACACACACACACACACACACACACACACACACAGAGCUGCUGAAAACUCGCCAGCUCCAGAAGCAGCCUCCUGCCAGGGACGCCAGAUCUUCCCCAGAAUGGUCUGGGCAGCAAAGAAAGGAAACCCAAGUUGGCAGGUUCUAUAUUAAGAGCCAAACCCUGUGGAGAAAGGAGUUCAUUAGGGGUGGUAAGCUAAGCCAAGUGAUGGGAGUUCCAGGUAAUAUCUUCAGCUCUACUGCUGAAUGACUAAGUCACUGGUUCAGUCCCUUUCUCUUCGUGAUACCUCAGUUUCCCCAAGUACAGCUAUAUUUGUGAAAAGCUUCUUGAAUAAAUGGAGUGCUAUUUGUACAGUGCUGAAAAUGCUAUUGUCUGAGAUAAAAGAAAAAGGUCCUUACAUUUUAAAGAAGAAAACAUGGUUGAAUGAGAUAAUGUAUAUAAUGUAUUUUUAUAUAUGAGAUAAUCUAUAUAAAACUUUAACACUUGAGAGGAAAAUAUUUAAAUUAAAAUAUAAAAUACAUUAUAAGAUGUUUGUAAUGUGUGUAUAUAUAAGGCAUUUUUAAUGACCCUAACAUGCUAUGUAAGCAUGCAAUUAUUACCCCUACUGUGUUCUCAAAUAGUUCACUAUUAUCUGUGGAAAUUGAAUAAAUGGAUUAUAUAGUGAAGUAGAAAGAAUACUAGAUUUGGAGUCAACCUCAAGGACCUUCGAUCAACUCUCACUACUAUUCCUUACUAGCUGUGUGAUCUUGUAUAAGUCACUUAGUUCUCAAGUCUUUUUUCCCUCCAGGCAGCUGUAUUCCCAGUAUCUCACAGGGCUGUCUGAGCGAGGGUUUGAAGCCAGGUUUCAACUCCAAGCCCAGCACUCUAUCCACUGCACCACCUAAUUGCCUUGCUUGUUCUACUAUUGGAAUAUGAGCUCUUUGAGGGGCCAUCACUGCCACUGAAACCACUGUUGCUGGCCUUGGACACAGUUGCAUGGUUGAAUAAAGAAGCCUGCUGAAGACCCCUCAGUCUUCCAGGAGGUGGUCUCCAUGGGGAGCUGUCCACAGCUACUGCUUCACUUCAGUGACAGCCAGAAGCCAGAAGAAGGAGAAACCAAUAAUGGAUGAACAAAAGGAAGCCAGCGUUUAUCUGGAAGGAGCCCUGCCUGGCUUCCACCGGCAGAGAACGAAAGGAACUAGACCACGUAUGUCUGCAUUCACCAGCAGGAGUUCUCUGGAUAAGGCCCCAUACCUGGUCUAUGCCAAGUCAAACAACCUGGGCAUUUUCAGCAUUGUCUCCUUUUACUGCCUACUUUCCUGAUCUCUGGGAUUACAUUUAUGCAACGGAAAGCUACCUCUCUACACCUGCUGCGGUUAUUGAAGGAGCUCUGAAUUAUGACCCAUCACCAAGAACUAGAAAAAGAAUGGCUAUUUGGUUCCUGUUAUCUCUGGCUGGAGAACAGAGCAGCUUCUGUAUGGAAGAGCAACCUGAAAUAGACGCAGUCCUCCUCCUUCCUCAUCAGCAACCAUCAACUGUGUUUAUGGGGGAUCGCACAUUCCCAUAAAAGGAUUUAUGCAGCUAAUCUCCAUCAACAAGGAAAAAAAGCCCCACCAAACCUGCCAUAAAAAAGAACAGCAAAUUCUAUAAACAAAAAAGCAGUAUGGCCACCAACAACGGGCGGAUCACACAGCUUGAAUCUGCCUCAAGUGGUUUCCCUGUCGCUCUUUAUAGCUUCAAGACUAUCACGGACCUCCUUAGUGUUUCUCCUGUCACAGGGCCCUGAGUCCCUGUGUGGUGCUGCAAAUACCCUGUCAGUAGGUGUCAGGGGAUAUCAGGGGAAAAACAGCAGGCGCCCAUCAUAAGACUUAAAAGAGAUUAAAUACCCCCACUACGUGAUUGCUGCAUUUUAAUUUCUCUCCUCCCUGCUGGUUCCUAUUUGUAUAAUCUCUUACACUGCUCCCCUGGAGUAGCACAGACAUGACCUGGAAUGACCACUCUGUCCUGGGAUGAGAAUUCAAUUUCCAGGCUCAGUGAGUCCUGGGCUGUUCCAACAAAAGGCAUUUCUCUAUCCUCCUUUAGGGUAAAAGGAAAACGAAGCCUCUGUGGUCUUGGAGGCCUGGGCCUACCUCAUCAAUCCAGCCCUGUCUUGCUUUCUUGGGGCGAAAGGAGAGUUUGGAUUCUGUUUUCAGACUUGGCUUUCCCAGUGUGAUUCGUGGCUUCCACAAUGAGUUUCACCUUCCCUGCUGAAGGGACCAUUUCUUCCUUGGCAUAAGAGACAACUAAGCUGGUUUAUUCCUUCUAGACAGUGACUGGAAAGUUGUGUCUUUUGAGGGCUUCAUUCCAGACCCACAAGAUGGUUUCUGGAAUGGGUUACUUGACACUCUCAUUGCUCUUGAGGACAUUAAUGGCAAAAACUUCCUUCCUGGAAAUUCUCUUUCCUCUCUAAUGAGGUUCCCCUAGGCCUCAACGGGACAGAGUCCCUGAAAAUUUCUUAUAUCUUCCUACUUUUCAACAUCCUAAGGUCAUUCCAGCAGACUUUGUAAAUAACAUGAUUCUCCUACAGGAGAAUAAUUGAUCAGUUCUUAAAACAGAAAAUCAAUGACUCAUUGAUAUAUGUACAGGAAAGGCUAAUCAAUCACAGAAUUAUUGGUUUAUGAUUGCUUAUUCCUCUCAUUAGUGGUGGUGUAUCAUAUAUUAUCAUUACGGUUUUUUUUUAAACAGAAUUCUAAUUUAUAAGCAAUGCUGAUUCUGUUAUUCUGGGGUCAGAUUAUUAUUCUGGGUUGGUCAAGAAUUUUCUAACUUUUAAAACCUUGCUUGGUACCAGAGCUAUUUUGAAAAUUUAUUGCCUUCUUAGGAUGUCAAAAAUUAAAUGAAGCCAGGGCUCCAUGAUAAAUACCACCCCCUCUAACUUCUGAGAAAAACAAGGCUGGAAGGCAGAAUGACUCACUACAGGCAAACAGGUGCCAAUUUCCCGGCACAAGUGGUUUUACGUUGAGUGUUUUCAGAGGGAGAGGGGAAAUGGUCAGCUGGGUGGUCAGUAAAUUAGGGGAAGCUAGAACCUAUGAAAGGUUCAGAUCUCUGUAUUCUGCUGUAAACCUCUGGCAGCUCUGGGUUUGCCAGUCAGCCUCACUCCUUGUCUUGGGUUCUUGACAAUAAUUUUCUUCUCUUUCAUUAUUCAGAAUUUUGGUCUAAUAAAUCAUAAUAAAAUGAAUUAUUAACAGUG